rnacentral:tRNA from 1 species
AGACUUUUGGUGCAGUGGUUAAAGCACUUGGCUUCUAACCAAAAGGUUGGGAGUUCAAACCUACCAGGCUCUG